GUUGAGAGUGGUGGUGCAUGCCUGUAAUCCUAGUGGCUUGGGAGCUGAGAUAGGAGGAUUGAAGAGUUCAGAGCCAGCCUCCACAACUUAGUGAGGCCCUAAGCUACUCUCCGAGACCCUGUCUCUA
rnacentral:sRNA from 1 species